AUUGAACGCUGGCGGCAGGCCUAACACAUGCAAGUCGAGCGAGCGGCGGACGGGUGAGUAAUGUAUGGGGACUGCCUGAUGGCGGGGGAUAACAACUGGAAACGGUAGCUAAUACCGCAUACCCUCAGAUAACCCAUAUGGGAUUAGCUGGUAGGUAAGGUAAAGGCUUACCUAGGCGACGAUCCCUAGCUGGUCUGCGAGGAUGAGCAGCCACAUUGGGACUGAGACACGGCCCAGACUCCUACGGAGGCAGAAGGGGGGAAUAUUGCACAAGGGGCGCAAGCCUGAUGCAGCCCUGCCGCGGGUAUGAAGAAGGCCUUCGGGUUUUAAAGUACUUUCAGUCGGGAGGCGUUACCGACAGAAGAAGCACCGGCUAACUCCGUGCCAGCCGCCGCGGUAAUAC
rnacentral:rRNA from 1 species